ACGGGAGCUUGCUCCUGGUGGCGAGUGGCGAACGGGUGAGUAAAGUAUCGGAACGUACCUUUCAGUGGGGGAUAACGUAGCGAAAGUUACGCUAAUACCGCAUAUUCUGUGAGCAGGAAAGCAGGGGAUCGCAAGACCUUGCGCUGAUUGAGCGGCCGAUAUCAGAUUAGCUAGUUGGUGGGGUAAAGGCCUACCAAGGCGACGAUCUGUAGCGGGUCUGAGAGGAUGAUCCGCCACACUGGAACUGAGACACGGUCCAGACUCCUACGGGAGGCAGCAGUGGGGAAUUUUGGACAAUGGGGGCAACCCUGAUCCAGCCAUGCCGCGUGAGUGAAGAAGGCCUUCGGGUUGUAAAGCUCUUUCGGCCGGGAAGAAAUCGCAUGGGCUAAUACCCUGUGUGGAUGACGGUACCGGAAUAAGAAGCACCGGCUAACUACGUGCCAGCAGCCGCGGUAAUACGUAGGGUGCGAGCGUUAAUCGGAAUUACUGGGCGUAAAGCGUGCGCAGGCGGUUUAGUAAGACAGGCGUGAAAUCCCCGGGCUCAACCUGGGAACUGCGCUUGUGACUGCUAAGCUAGAGUAC
rnacentral:rRNA from 1 species